CCCUUAGAUGUUCUGGGCCGCACGCGCGCUACACUGACGAAUGCAACGAGCUUAUAACCUUGGCCGAAAGGUCUGGGUAAUCUCCAAAUUUCGUCGUGAUGGGGAUAGAUUAUUGCAAUUAUUAAUCUUCAACGAGGAAUGCCUAGUAAGCGCAAGUCAUCAGCUUGCGUUGAUUACGUCCCUGCCCUUUGUACACACCGCCCGUCGCUCCUACCGAUUGAAUGGUCCGGUGAAGCGUUCGGACCGUGGCCUUUGGACGGUUCGCCGUCUGUUGGCUGCGGGAAGUUCGUUAAACCUUAUCACUUAGAGGAUGGAGAAGUCGUAACA
rnacentral:rRNA from 1 species